GACGAACGCUGGCGGCGUGCUUAACACAUGCAAGUCGAACGGAAAGGCCUCUUUCGGGGGGUACUCGAGUGGCGAACGGGUGAGUAACACGUGAGUAACCUGCCCUUGACUUUGGGUUAACUUCAGGAAACUGGGGCUAAUACCGGAUAGGAGCUCCUGCUGCAUGGUGGGGGUUGGAAAGUUUCGGCGGUUGGGGAUGGACUCGCGGCUUAUCAGCUUGUUGGUGGGGUAGUGGCUUACCAAGGCUUUGACGGGUAGCCGGCCUGAGAGGGUGACCGGCCACAUUGGGACUGAGAUACGGCCCAGACUCCUACGGGAGGCAGCAGUGGGGAAUAUUGCACAAUGGGUGGAAGCCUGAUGCAGCAACGCCGUGUGCGGGAUGACGGCCUUCGGGUUGUAAACCGCUUUCGCUCAUGACGAAGCUUUGUGUGACGGUAGUGGGUAAAGAAGCACCGGCUAACUACGUG
rnacentral:rRNA from 1 species